CUACGGGACGCUGCAGUGAGGAAUAUUGCACAAUGGGGGGAACCCUGAUGCAGCAACGCCGCGUGGAGGAUGACGCAUUUCGGUGUGUAAACUCCUUUUAUAUGUCAAGAAAAUGACGGUAGCAUAUGAAUAAGCACCGGCUAACUCCGUGCCAGCAGCCGCGGUAAUACGGAGGGGGCAAGCGUUACUCGGAAUCACUGGGCGUAAAGGGCGCGUAGGCGGGGUGGAAAGUCAGGUGUGAAAUCCUACAGCUUAACUGUAGAACUGCACUUGAAACUUCUAAUCUAGAGUAUGGGAGGGGGAGAUGGAAUUAGUGGUGUAGGGGUAAAAUCCGUAGAUAUCACUAGGAAUACCUAAAGCGAAGGCGAUCUCCUGGAACAUUACUGACGCUAAGGCGUGAAAGCGUGGGGAGCAAACAGGAUUAGAUACCCGAGUAGUC
rnacentral:rRNA from 1 species